UCUUCUCUUUCUUUCAACCGAUGAGUCGAUGAAAUCAUCACUGAAAUCUUACAGAGAUCUCUUUAAUCAUCGAUCUAUGCAAAUGUUCAUCGAUUACUUCUAUAAGUUUUUCGAUUUAGGGUUUAUAAGUUUUUCAAUCGGCUGGUUUUUCAAUCGUAUGGUUUUUUCUCAUCUUCACUCUCAACUUAAGAUUUCAGUUUUUCAAUCAUCUGUUAAUCAUCAUCAUCAUAAGUUUAGGGUCUCGAUUUCAGUUUCAUCAUCAUCAGUUUUAGGGUUUUAUCUAAUUUCUUAUCUAACCAUCUGAUCUUUUGAAGAACUGAUCUUCAAUCAUCUGUUAAGCGAGUUUAGGGUUUCGAUUUCGCAGAUCUAUGUAAGUUUUUAUCAUCUGUAAGAUUUCAGCAUUUUUUAUCGAUUUUGAGGUUUCAGUUUGGUUAAUCAAAUUUUAGGGGUUCAGUAUUUCAAUCGAUUUUAGGGUUUAUUGUUACUCGUUUUUGAUUUUCAAUCUCUAACUUUCUCUCUAUCUGCUUUCUUGAACUACCGCUUCGUUGAUGAUAUUAUGAGGAUUUGAUUUAGGGGUUUUUCUUGGGGUUUCACCAAAUGGAUGUAACUUUCAGGUGAAUGAAAUGUCUGGACAUUGAAGAUGGCAAAGAUGUUGAUCUCAAAGAGUGUCCUAGAUCCAAGCUUCAGCAGGAAUGCAAUCUCAUGCUAUUGUGCUAAUUUAUUUUGUUGUUAUUGUUGAAUUUAUUAUAUUGUGCUUGUUGUGUGCAUAAAAAGAUAGGGUGUUACCAUCAUUCGAGUUUUCUUGCUGGGGAACUACCUUAGCUGCAGGAGAACUUAUUCCAGAGACUUGCUUAUAUUGUUCUUGCAUUCUCUUUUCCAAAUUGUUUAACGUGCAGAUGAAAGCAAGGAUGAAGUCUUUCCAUAUGUGUGAACAGGGAAGUAGAAAAAUAAGGAACAAGAAGAGUACCUACAGUUUCCUCCCAAUCAACAACUCGAAAUGCAUAUAAACUGUUUGUUUAAAUGCCUGAACGAUUAGUAGCAGCUUUUGUUUUUCACUGAACCAAGCUGUUAUUGGCAGUUAAGGAACUCAGUAUUGGAACUGGGUAAAGAGAAAGAUCAUUCCUUUUUGGAUCUGGUCUCAAAGUGGAUGGGCUAGAAUGAGAAUCUUGUUUCCAACCUUUUCCAGUGGAUUGCCUACUGCCUACAUCGAGUGUUUUGAUGCCCAAGCUUUCAACAAAGCAAGCCUGCAAAGGAUAUAUAGCUUAGUUGUGGUUAAUCGAAUGAUGCUCUAUUUGAUCAGAAAGGGUGGAGAACAAAGCAGCUUCAAGAUUUGUAAGUUGCAGUUAUUCAAGUUUUGUAGGCAGUUAGUAAGUUUCUGUGUUCCAUUAGAAAUUUGGAACCUUCCAUGUAUUCCCUUAGAAAUCUGAUACUUAAAAAAAAAAAAAAAAUUGGUACUUAGAGAAAUUUCAGUAAAAUUUGGUACUUACAAAAAUUUCAAUUACUUUUUUAUAUGAAUCUGAUAUGAAUGUGAUAUGAACAGAUUGUUGAGUGUGGAUGAUGAAUGUAUUCCCUUAGAAAUCUGAUACUUAAAAAAAAUAAAAAAAAUUGGUACUUAGAGAAAUUUCAGUAAACUUUGGUACUUACAAAAAUUUCAAUUACCUUUUUAUAUGAAUGUGAUAUGAACAGAUUGUUGAGUGUGGAUGAUGAAUGUAUUGAAAGGUGUAUGCAGGGUAUUGCAUCUGGAAUUCCGACUUAUUUCCGACGGAAA